GACAGAGGGUGCAAACGUUGCUCGGAAUCACUGGGCGUAAAGGGCGUGUAGGCGGGAAUGUAAGUCGGGCGUGAAAUCCCUAGGCUCAACCUAGGAACUGCACUCGAAACUGCGUUUCUUGAGUGCCGGAGAGGAAAGCGGAAUUCCUGGUGUAGAGGUGAAAUUCGUAGAUAUCAGGAGGAACACCAGUGGCGAAGGCGGCUUUCUGGACGGUAACUGACGCAUGAGACG
rnacentral:rRNA from 1 species